GACGAACGCUGGCGGCGUGCUUAACACAUGCAAGUCGAACGGUAAGGCCCUUCGGGGUACACGAGUGGCGAACGGGUGAGUAACACGUGGGUGAUCUGCCCUGCACUUCGGGAUAAGCCUGGGAAACUGGGUCUAAUACCGGAUAGGACUCCUGCCUGCAUGGGUGGGGGUGGAAAGCUUUUGCGGUGUGGGAUGGGCCCGCGGCCUAUCAGCUUGUUGGUGGGGUGAUGGCCUACCAAGGCGACGACGGGUAGCCGGCCUGGGAGGGUGACCGGCCACACUGGGACUGAGAUACGGCCCAGACUCCUGCGGGAGGCAGCAGUGGGGAAUAUUGCACAAUGGGCGCAAGCCUGAUGCAGCGACGCCGCGUGAGGGAUGACGGCCUUCGGGUUGUAAACCUCUUUCAGCACAGACGAAGCGCAAGUGACGGUAUGUGCAGAAGAAGGACCGGCCAACUACGUGCCAGCCGCCGCAGUAA
rnacentral:rRNA from 1 species